rnacentral:miRNA from 15 species
UGUGCAUCUCAUCCACGUAAAU